UGCAAAGAACGUUGUUCCAACUACUCAGUGGGUCUAAUAAAAAAUAUCACAACUACCCAAAGAACCUUGCCUGUUAACAGUAUCCAAAACUCACUAAUUGUCAUCUUCAUGCUGCUUUUUCUGUGCACAGAGCAUACCCCCUAUUAUGGAAAUACUUAUGCACACGAUUAACUCGAUACUCUUUAUGUAGUUCCCUUGAAGGCAAUGGAAAGUCAUGGUGUAUCAAGUCAGUCACAUGGUAAGUCUUUGCAGGGUUAAUAUGUGCAUCUUAAAUGCCCAGUUAAAUAUCCAGUAAAUCUUGUAACUGAAUCAACCAUAUAAAUUGAAGGCCAUGUCUAUGCAGCAAAGAAAUUAAGCACAUGCUUUAAUCCCUUUAAAAAUCCAAAUGACUUAAACACAUUGUUAAGUGCUGAUGUGAAUAGGUUUGGCUUGCUGAAUAAUAAUUAAAGAGAACUCAGUGUUAGGGUGAAAAAAGGUUGCCGCCUCAAUUUUAAACAAACAGGAAAAAUAUAGGAUCAAGUACUGAAGUCCUUAUGGUCUUCAACCCUAUAUAGCCAAAAUUCCAAGACACAAUGGGACUACUAGGAAAUGAAAGUUUCCCCAUAUGGUUUGAUUUUUUUUAUGUUGUUAGUUUUGUAUCCAGCAGCUCUAAGCUUCUUGCUGUGUUGGAGAGAUUAAAUUAUAUUUUAAUUUCA